AGGAAAAUGCCCACAAUGUAGCUUCACUCAAUGACUAAAAGGGGAAGCACAAAGAAAUUGGCUGCUUCAGUCAGAGAUGGUCUUUUAACUCACCCCAAAGAGCGAACACAAUUCAAAACGGAUUCAAAAGCACAUUCUGGUUGCUAGAUUUUUACUUUAUUUAUAAGAAAUCGACAUUGAUGUGGAAGUUUUUGUCAGCUAACUAGUUAGCUAGCAAUGUUAGUUUAACGCGACGAGUUUGCCUCAGUUCGUUUCUGGUCGCUUACGCUACAUUGGCCAACUUACUAACUACUUAAUUUGUCCUGCCAUUCCCGAAGUGAUGUACUUCCAGUUCGACGUAAUAGAAUUUUACAAAAAGCAUUGCAGAUGUCAAGGUCACAGUGAUGGAGCAGAAUAGAAAGACACUUUGAUUCGUGGCCAAUGCCGUCAGAGGGAUUGUCUGGUUUUUAAGUCUUGCAGUGCAAGACCUGGAUCGUGGCAGAUUUGGCACAGGUAGCUUAACUUCUUGACCUUUGGUGUUCAAAAAUCCCUGUCUAAGUUCCUUCUACUAAGACCCACAGAAAUGUGGACUCACCUUUUGAUGGUGAGUAAAACUGACUCAGUUUAGU